rnacentral:rRNA from 1 species
GAUGAACGCUGGCGGCGUGCCUAACACAUGCAAGUCGAACGAUGAAACCGCCCUCGGGCGGACAUGAAGUGGCGAACGGGUGAGCAACACGUGACCAACCUGCCCCUUGCUCCGGGACAACCUUGGGAAACCGAGGCUAAUACCGGAUACUCCUCGCCCCCCUCCUGGGGGGCCCGGGAAAGCCCAGACGGCAAGGGAUGGGGUCGCGGCCCAUUAGGUAGUAGGCGGGGUAACGGCCCACCUAGCCCGCGAUGGGUAGCCGGGUUGAGAGACCGACCGGCCACAUUGGGACUGAGAUACGGCCCAGACUCCUACGGGAGGCAGCAGUGGGGAAUUUUGCGCAAUGGGGGCAACCCUGACGCAGCAACGCCGCGUGCGGGACGACGGCCUUCGGGUUGUAAACCGCUUUCAGCAGGGAAGAAAUUCGACGGUAC